GACGAACGCUGGCGGCGUGCUUAACACAUGCAAGUCGAACGGAAAGGCCCUGCCUUUGUGGGGUGCUCGAGUGGCGAACGGGUGAGUAACACGUGAGUAACCUGCCCUUGACUUUGGGAUAACUUCAGGAAACUGGGGCUAAUACCGGAUAGGAGCUCCUGCUGCAUGGUGGGGGUUGGAAAGUUUCGGCGGUUGGGGAUAGACUCGCGGCUUAUCAGCUUGUUGGUGGGGUAGUGGCUUACCAAGGCUUUGACGGGUAGCCGGUCUGAGAGGGUGACCGGCCACAUUGGGACUGAGAUACGGCCCAGACUCCUACGGGAGGCAGCAGUGGGGAAUAUUGCACAAUGGGCGGAAGCCUGAUGCAGCAACGCCGCGUGCGGGAUGACGGCCUUCGGGUUGUAAACCGCUUUCGCCUGUGACGAAGCGUGAGUGACGGUAAUGGGUAAAGAAGCACCGGCUAACUACGUGCCAGCAGCCGCGGUAAUAC
rnacentral:rRNA from 1 species